rnacentral:rRNA from 1 species
CCUACGGGGGGCAGCAGUGGGGAAUAUUGCACAAUGGGGGAAACCCUGAUGCAGCGACGCCGCGUGAGUGAAGAAGUAUUUCGGUACGUAAAGCUCUAUCAGCAGGGAAGAAAAUGACGGUACCUGACUAAGAAGCCCCGGCUAACUACGUGCCAGCAGCCGCGGUAAUACGUAGGGGGCAAGCGUUAUCCGGAUUUACUGGGUGUAAAGGGAGCGUAGACGGCAGGGCAAGUCUGGAGUGAAAUCCCAUGGCUUAACCAUGGAACUGCUUUGGAAACUGUGCAGCUAGAGUGCAGGUGAGGUAAGCGGAAUUCCUAGUGUAGCGGUGAAAUGCGUAGAUAUUAGGAGGAACACCAGUGGCGAAGGCGGCUUACUGGACUGUAACUGACGUUGAGGCUCGAAAGCGUGGGGAGCAAACAGGAUUAGAUACCCGGGUAGUC